rnacentral:rRNA from 1 species
CGCCAGACUCCUACGGGAGGCAGCAGUGGGGAAUAUUGCGCAAUGGGGGAAACCCUGACGCAGCAACGCCGCGUGAGUGAGGAAGUAUCUCGGUAUGUAAAGCUCUAUCAGCGGGGAAGAAAGAGGACGGUACCCGACUAAGAAGCCCCGGCUAACUACGUGCCAGCAGCCGCGGUCAUACGUAGGAUCCGAGCAUUAUCCGGAGUGACUGGGUGUAAAGAGUUGCGUAGGUGGCAUAAUAAGUAGCUAGUGAAAUCUGGUGGCUCAACCAUUCAGACUAUUAGCUAAACUGCUAAGCUCGAGACCGUUAGGGGUAACUGGAAUUUCUAGUGUAGGAGUGAAAUCCGUAGAUAUUAGAAGGAACACCGAUAGCGUAGGCAGGUUACUGGGACGGUUCUGACACUAAGGCACGAAAGCGUAGGGAGCAAACGGGAUUAGAUACCCUCGUA